GGAGGGGAGCAGGGUAGAGCUUGGACACCUGCUGAUACCAAGUGUCACUGGAGCAGGACUGUAAAGGGAGCCACUAGGGUAUCUUUGCAAAAGAGAACAAAUGGGUAAUUCAGAAGGGAAGAAUUUAUUGGAGUCAAGUUGACCUUGGCUGGGAGUGAACUCAGCGGGGCCUCACUACUUCAUGGACUAGGACUUAAGUCUCUUGGUAGUAGCCAUUCACAGAAGAGCUAAACUCACCCAACUCAGUUAUCUGACAUGCCCAUUUGAGUCAAUAUAAAGCUUUGGUCAGAAUCCUAAGAUAAUACAAAGCCAAAUUAUGGAGGGGCAAGAAGCUUAUGCCACUUGUAGCCUGCUAAUACUGGGCAGAAAUGUCUGCUACAGACCCUUACACUGCAGGUGGCAUUACUGGUUUUCUGGAACCAGACUGGAGAAAGAAUGAAAUUAGCUUGCUCAACUGAAAGCAGUGCCCAGCUUUUCUGAUGUGUGGUUGCUGACCCCACCUGAAGUAAAGGUAACUCCAGAAAGCCCAGCCUUCUGGCCACACUUGCCCAGAAAUAAAAGAGGGUGUGGGAUCCCCACAGCCAGGAGGCUCCACUGCGGGAAGUUCUGCCUGUGAACUGGCCAGUGAGGUGACUGCCACAGCUGCUGCUCACAGCAAAAGUCUUCCCCCCUGGAGCAGUGAGCAUUCUGCAUCCAGAACUUGUAGGGCAAACCAAACACACACACCCUACACCACCCCAGCUUCCCUCUGAGUGCUUCCCUGGCUCAUUCCUGCAUCUCCCUCCCUCCCAAAGCCCCAGAAACUAACCCCACAGCUUUAUCCAGCCCUGCUGAGUUGGGCGGGAGAGGUGAGAAGUGAUGAUUGGUUGCCUCCAUCUCAUCCAGGGAGCAGGGACACUCGAUGGGACCCUGAUAAGGAAUAUCAUCUCUAGGAGUGACAUUGACUUGAAUCUUAUCAAGUGUCAGUUCAGUAAGAUGUAUGGCAAAACCCUCAGCAGCAUGAUCACGGAUGACACCAGUGGUGACUACAAGAACGCCCUCCCUGAACCUGGUGGGAAGUGACCCAUGAAGUCACUGAAGAAUGAGAGCCAAGACCAAGAAGCAGGGGUCUCCAGGCCCUGCCCCCAUGACCUUGGCCAUGGGUGGGGGUUGAGGGGCCCUCAGCCAGCUUCCAGUCUUUAUCUCCUAGUGCUUUCUGGCCAACAUUUCUGACCCAGAGGAUGACACCAGCCCCAGCUCCUCCUUCCAUCUUCUCUCCCAGAUCAUCUCUAGGUCAUGCACAAAGACUUUAGCAAAGCUCUUGCUGGACAAAUAUGUCAGCCUACAGGGGCUCAUGGGUCAUUUCUUCCUCCUAGACAGAGCCUGCCUGAGCUUAACUGGUCACAGAAUUACCUGGGCAUAGGUUAUGCAGAUACCUUGGCCCAGUCCCAUCUACAGAAUCAAGGGUCCCCCAGGAGGACUAGGGAACAUAGAUCUCUAACAAGUGUCUCAGUCAUUUGCUUCCUUAUCACCCACCAGCCAGAGGGCCCUAAGAGCCCUUUUGUAGUAGAGCACAGGCCCCUGAAUUGCUGAGAAAGGGAUGCAUAUCCAUGUCAAUUGGGAUGCCACCAGUCUCCUUGAAAAAGUCAGACUCUGACAUCCUCACACUAUCCUGAUGACAGAGUAAUUGGACUACAGAGCAAUGUCCUGACCCAAGGGCUCUAUGUCCUAGAAGCUCAGGCUUCCUGGUUGUUCAGCAGUUCUGCUCUGUCCUCUGUGACACAGCAUGCAGCACAGGGGAUGACAACCCUGAGCAUGACUCAUCCCGACCCAAGGCCACCAAGCCUGGAGACCUGCAGAGGCCUCAUUUUCAUCUUCCUAGAUAUUUUCUGGGCUUUCAGAAUAAUAAACAUCUGCAUAUUCAGAAAGGGUCUUUGGAUUUGUACCAGUGACCAGAGCAAGGCCAGUUUCAUUGGCCAGAAGCAGAGUUUCAGAGCUACCCAACCUGAGCACACUUGUGGGCAUCCUCUGAGGGACCGCUGGGUGGUCACUGGUACCACUGGUGGGUACCACUGGUGGGUACCAGUGGUGGAUGCUCACUGUUGCCCCAGGCAUGACACUUGUAGAUGAGGAUAGUUUCUUUUAACAUCUAUUUUGUACUCUAAAUUCUGACAUCUCUGGGUUGGAAGGGGCUUUUAAAUGUCACCUGGUUUCUUCCUACUGCACCUUGACUGCCCUCCAAGGCACAUGCUCCACAUCAUCCUUGGUGCACGUGGUCUGUACUUGUUGUACAUGGGGUGUACUUGGCUGCUUCCAGUGACAGGAACUCACAGCUUCCUUGGGUGGCCCAGUCUUUUCCCAAAAAGUGAUUCACAGUGUUCACCCUUAACUGAGCCAAAAUCUACCCUCUUGUGUCCACUGCAGUCUGUCAUCUAGGGCUACAACAUUUGUCCUUUCCCAAUAGCAACGUUUGGUAUCAUAAGCAGCCCACCUAUUCCACUAAAAUUUCUGCCAAAGUUAGAGGUCCCCAGUCCUUCCAACUGCCCCUCCUGGAACCUCAUCAGGGGCCAUGGGCUCUGCCUCUGAACAUGAUCCCGUUCAUAAACUCCAGGGUGUGGCCCCAGGAGUAAAGGGCACACCCUGGAAUUCAAGAUCAGGGGGAUGACACAGGGUGGGCUCUGAGCUCACACAGAUGGGAGGUGGAUCCUGGCUCUGCCCUGUGCUGGCUCCAUGACGCUGAGCUAACAUUCUCUCUCCCUCUCUCUCUCUCUCUCUCUCCCUCCCUCCCUCCC
rnacentral:lncRNA from 1 species